GGUCUGCCGGGAGUUGUAGUUCCAAGCCGUAGAACUUUUGACUGGUCCCCUUCCUUUCCUUUCACUGACGCCCAGCCUACCACAGACUCUGAAACCGCUGCAGAUUGAGUAUUGGUCACUUCGAGGAAGAAGAGGAUCUGGCUCCCUCUCUUGGGUCUUGUUGAGCGCAUCAAAAGUGCAGAGACUGCAGCUUCUGGAGCAGGAAGACGGUGGCAGACAGGAACUCCAGCAGAGCAGGAACCUGGAGGCAGGAGAUGAUGGAGAAGCCAUGGAAGAGUCUGCUUACUGGCUUGCACCCCAUGACUUGCUCAGUCUGCUUUCUUAUAGAACCAAGACCACAAGCUCAGGACUGACCCCACCCACAAUGGGCUGGGCCCUCCCUCAUUAACCACUAAUUAAUAAAAUUGU
rnacentral:lncRNA from 1 species